rnacentral:sRNA from 1 species
GGAGGUUUGCCUAUAAGGCACCUUCAUAACUUAGCCGGACUUCCCAGUCCGGCUCUUUUUUUGCCUGA